GAUGAACGCUAGCGGCAGGCCUAAUACAUGCAAGUCAAGGGGCCAGCAAUGGCACCGGCGCACGGGUGCGUAACACGUACACAACAUACCUUUAAGUGGGAGAUAGCAUCGGGAAACUGGUGGUAAUACCCCAUAAUAUUGCGAUGCGGCAUCACAUUGCAAUUAAAGUUUCGACGCUUAAAAGAUUGGUGUGCGUCCGAUUAGCUAGUUGGCGGGGUAACGCCCACCAAGGCUACGAUCGGUAGGGGGUNUGAGAGCAUGACCCCCCCANAUGGGUACUGAGAUACGGACCCAACUCCUACGGGAGGCAGCAGUAAGGAAUAUUGGACAAUGGACGAAAGUCUGAUCCAGCCAU
rnacentral:rRNA from 1 species